UACGAAGGGGGCUAGCGUUGUUCGGAAUCAUUGGGCGUAAAGCGCUUGUAGGCGGCUUGUUAAGUCGCGUGUGAAAUCCCUUGGCUCAACCAAGGAAGUGCGCGCGAAACUGGCGAGCUCGAGUGCCGGAGAGGGUCGCGGAAUUCCCGGUGUAGAGGUGAAAUUCGUAGAUAUCGGGAGGAACACCAGUGGCGAAGGCGGCGACCUGGACGGACACUGACGCUGAGACGCGAAAGCGUGGGGAGCAAACAGG
rnacentral:rRNA from 1 species